rnacentral:rRNA from 1 species
GGAGGUCACUGCUAUUGGGGUUCGGCUAAGCCAUGCGAGCGGAGGGCGCGGUCGAAAGAUCGUGGCCCCGCACACGGCUCAGUAACACGUAGUCAACCUACCCUUGGGACGGGGACAACCUCGGGAAACUGAGGCUAAUCCCCGAUAGGCGGGGGACGCUGGGAUGCCUCCUCGCCCAAAGCCCCGGCGCCCGAGGAUGGGACUGCGGCCUAUCAGGCUGUUGGUGGUGUAACGGACCACCAAACCUACGACGGGUACGGGCGAUGGGAGUCGGAGCCCGGAGAUGGGGACUGAGACAAGGCCCCAGGCCCUACGGGGCGCAGCAGGCGCGAAAACUCCGCAAUGCGCACAAGCGUGACGGGGGGACCCCAAGUGCCGUUGGUCUUUCGAUCGACGGUUUUUAGGAAGUCUAGGAAGCUUCCAGAAUAAGGGCUGGGCAAGACUGGUGCCAGCCGCCGCGGUAACACCAGCAGCCCAAGUGGUGGCCACGAUUAUUGGGCCUAAAGCGCUCGUAGCCGGAUCAAUAAGUCCCUUGUGAAAUCGAGCCGCCCAACGGUUCGGCGUGCAAGGGAUACUGUUGGUCUUGAGGCCGGGAGAGGUCGGAGGUACUCCUGGGGUAGCGGUGAAAUGCUCUAAUCCUAGGGGGACCACCAGUGGCGAAGGCGUCCGACCAGAACGGACCUGACGGUGAGGGGCGAAGGCUAGGGGAGCGAACGGGAUUAGAUACCCCGGUAGUCCUAGCUGUAAAGCAUGCGGGCCAGGUGUCUAGCGCUCCUUGAGGGCGCUAUGUGCCGGAGGGAAGCCGUUAAGCCCGCCGCCUGGGAAGUACGGUCGCAAGGCUGAAACUUAA